AUUGAACGCUGGCGGCAUGCCUUACACAUGCAAGUCGAACGGCAGCACGGGAGCAAUCCUGGUGGCGAGUGGCGAACGGGUGAGUAGUACAUCGGAACGUGCCCAGUAGUGGGGGAUAACCCGGCGAAAGCCGGACUAAUACCGCAUACGACCUACGGGUGAAAGCGGGGGAUCGCAAGACCUCGCGCUAUCGGAGCGGCCGAUGUCAGAUUAGCUAGUUGGUGGGGUAAAGGCCUACCAAGGCGACGAUCUGUAGCUGGUCUGAGAGGACGACCAGCCACACUGGGACUGAGACACGGCCCAGACUCCUACGGGAGGCAGCAGUGGGGAAUUUUGGACAAUGGGCGCAAGCCUGAUCCAGCCAUGCCGCGUGCGGGAAGAAGGCCUUCGGGUUGUAAACCGCUUUUGUCAGGGAAGAAACGCUCCGGGCUAAUACCACGGAGUAAUGACGGUACCUGAAGAAUAAGCACCGGCUAACUACGUG
rnacentral:rRNA from 1 species